GCACGCUGAAAGGCACGUAGAAACGGUGGGCGGGGAGAACUAACCUUAAAGGAGCAGUACACCAAAACCGCCUCCUGGUGCAAAAAUGUAUAAAUUGGAAUUUAAUAAAAGGGGCAACUCAUCCCGAGGCCCUCAGAGACUAUGCAGCGCCACUGAUGCGAUCCAAGACCAGCAACGAGAUGAUCCCAAGGUUUCCAUAAUCCUGGACCAGGCCGUAUACUGAGCAGCUGCUGUGGUGGUCAUGGAGGAGUAGAGAGCAUGAGACUGAUUCCUGUGACGAUCCAGGGACAGAUGAGUCUUGGUGACGUUCAGCUCCUCCAGCCUCCGGCGCCUAGACUGCAGCUCUGCAGUUCUUCACUUUCGCCAAUUGGUAAAGUUUUUUUCCUCGCCGCUGUCGCCACUGGCUUGCAUGGUUCGGGACCUGUAGAGCUGCGCAUCGAUGGAUUUGCUCUUCAGUGUUUGGACUAUCAGCAGUGAAUAUUAGACCACACUGAACUGAACUUAAACUCUGAAAACUAAACUGACACCGUUUCAAUUUACUAUGAUCUUCUAUGUCAAGCUGCUUUGACACAAUCUACAUUGUAGAAGCGCUAUACAAAUAAAGGUGAAAUGAAUUGAAUUGAAUUACUACAUUAAAAUUGAAGCCCUUCUCAUCGGGACUAAAA